rnacentral:rRNA from 1 species
UACGGAGGUGGCAAGCGUUGCUCGGAAUUACUGGGCGUAAAGGGCGCGUAGGCGGCCCGUUAAGUCCCGUGUGAAAGCCCCCGGCUCAACCGGGGAACGGCACGGGAAACUGGCAGGCUUGAGUUCGGGAGAGGGAAGCGGAAUUUCGGGUGUAGCGGUGAAAUGCGCAGAUAUCCGAAGGAACACCGGUGGCGAAGGCGGCUUCCUGGACCGACACUGACGCUGAGGCGCGAAAGCUAGGGGAGCAAACGGG